UUUCCAUUAUUAGAACCCACUGGGCACACACCUGGUUGAAUCAACAUUGUUUCUGUGUAAUUUGAACGAAAUUACCUUGAACCAACGUGGAAUAGACGUUGAAUUGACGUCUGUGCACAGUGGGAAAGGGCAGCAGAGCGGACAAAGACAGGACGCCACAAAGAAAAAAAAUAGACACGGCUAUCUGUUGGCUUGCUGUAGAAAUCAGGAUGCACUCGACUAAAAGUCGUAUUUCGGGAGUGAGGUGAGAGCCUUCUCUUGGUUACGGGUUCAUGUGUACUGGAUCAUGGUCUGUGUGUGCACGGAGGGAAAAGGCAUGAGGUGUGACUGGAUUUCCAGUUCAAAAAGGUGCCAUGGCACUGUCUGUUUUUGUUUAUUGUCAAGCAUUG